rnacentral:rRNA from 1 species
UACGUAGGUUGCAAGCGUUGUCCGGAUUUACUGGGCGUAAAGAGCGCGCAGGCGGUCGGAUAAGUCGGAUGUGAAAGCCCCCGGCUCAACUGGGGAGGGUCAUUCGAUACUGUUCGACUCGAAGGCAGGAGAGGGAAGUGGAAUUCCCGGUGUAGUGGUGAAAUGCGUAGAUAUCGGGAGGAACACCAGUGGCGAAGGCGGGUCUCUGGGCCGAGACUGACGCUGAGGAGCGAAAGCGUGGGGAGCGAACAGG